rnacentral:ncRNA from 1 species
GAAAUAGAGGCGCGCCAGUUCAUCAGUAUGCCGCGGGAGACACCGGAGUCCGUGAUCGCGGCGGAAAGGGGACGGCGCCGAAGAAGAGGAUCGCCGGACGGUUCUUGUUCUGGCUUCACGGUUAACAGCCGUGUGGCUGUCAUCGUAUGAUGGAGCGCUAUU